CACCUAACGGAUUUAAGCAUUCCGCCUGGGGAGGUACGGUCGCAAGAUUAAAACUCAAAGGAAUUGACGGGGGGCCCACACAAGCGGUGGAGCAUGUGGUUCAAUUUGAAGCAACGCGCAGAACCUUACCAACCCCUUGACAUCCCUGUCGCGGUUUCCAGAGAUGGAUUCCUUCAGUUCGGCUGGACGAGUGACAGGUGCUGCAUGGCUGUCGUCAACUCGUGUCGUGAGAUGUUCGGUUAAGUCCGGCAACGAGCGCAACCCACAUCUUUAGUUGCCAGCAGUUCGGCUGGGCACUCUAAAGAAACUGCCCGUGAUAAGCGGGAGGAAGGUGUGGAUGACGUCAAGUCCUCAUGGCCCUUACGGGUUGGGCUACACACGUGCUACAAUGGUGGUGACAGUGGGUUAAUCCCCAAAAGCCAUCUCAGUUCGGAUUGUCGUCUGCAACUCGACGGCAUGAAGUCGGAAUCGCUAGUAAUCGCGUAACAGCAUGACGCGGUGAAUACGUUCCCGGGCCUUGUACACACCGCCCGUCACACCAUGGGAGUUGGUUCUACCUGACGGCCGUGCGCUAACCCUACGG
rnacentral:rRNA from 1 species